UACGUAGGUGGCAAGCGUUUGUCCGGAUUUACUGGGCGUAAAGAGCGCGCAGGCGGCUGGUCAAGUCCGAUGUGAAAUCUCCCGGCUCAACUGGGAAACUGCAUCGGAAACUGAUCGGCUUGAAGGUGGGAGAGGGUAGUGGAAUUCCCGGUGUAGUGGUGAAAUGCGUAGAUAUCGGGAGGAACACCAGUGGCGAAGGCGACUACCUGGCCCAUUCUUGACGCUGAGGCGCGAAAGCUAGGGGAGCGAACGGG
rnacentral:rRNA from 1 species